rnacentral:rRNA from 2 species
UUCAGAGAUGAGAAUGUGCCUUCGGGAACCGUGAGACAGGUGCUGCAUGGCUGUCGUCAGCUCGUGUUGUGAAAUGUUGGGUUAAGUCCCGCAACGAGCGCAACCCUUAUCCUUUGUUGCCAGCGGUCCGGCCGGGAACUCAAAGGAGACUGCCAGUGAUAAACUGGAGGAAGGUGGGGAUGACGUCAAGUCAUCAUGGCCCUUACGACCAGGGCUACACACGUGCUACAAUGGCGCAUACAAAGAGAAGCGACCUCGCGAGAGCAAGCGGACCUCAUAAAGUGCGUCGUAGUCCGGAUUGGAGUCUGCAACUCGACUCCAUGAAGUCGGAAUCGCUAGUAAUCGUGGAUCAGAAUGCCACGGUGAAUACGUUCCCGGGCCUUGUACACACCGCCCGUCACACCAUGGGAGUGGGUUGCAAAAGAAGUAGGUAGCUUAACCUUCGGGAGGGCGCUUACCACUUUGUGAUUCAUGACUGGGGUGAAGUCGUAACAAGGUAACCGUAGGGGAACCUGCGGUUGGAUCACCUCCUUACCUUAAAGAAGC